CCCUUAGAUGUCCUGGGCCGCACGCGCGUUACACUGAUGCAUUCAACGAGCUUAUAACCUUGGCCGAGAGGCCUGGGCAAUCUUGUUAACGUGCAUCGUGAUAGGGAUAGAUUAUUGAAAUUAUUAAUCUUGAACGAGGAAUUCCUAGUAAACGCAGAUCAUCAAUCUGCAUUGAUUACGUCCCUGCCCUUUGUACACACCACCCGUCGCACCUACCGAUUGGAUGGUCCGGUGAAGCCUCGGGAUUGUGGUUCUUGCCGCUUUAUUGUGGCGUGACCGCGAGAACUUGUCUAAACCUUAUCAUCUAGAGGAAGGUGAAGUCGUAACA
rnacentral:rRNA from 1 species